rnacentral:tRNA from 2 species
GGUAAGGUGGCCGAAGCAGGUGCCGAGUUGUAGCCUCGGUUAUAAAGGCUAACCCUUUUCUUACCA